AGUGAACGCUGGCGGCGUGCCUAAUACAUGCAAGUCGAACGGAGUGGCGCACGGGUGUGAAAUAUAUAGCAAAUCUGCCACUUGCUGCAGGACAACCGAUAGAAAUGCCUGCUAAUACUCCAUAGCAAGGGAUGAGACUAUAUCGUAUCAGCUCGUCGGUGGGGGAACGGUCUACCGAGGCUACGACGCGGAACUGUGCUGAGAGGAGGAUCAGUAACAUGUGAACUGAGGCACGGGCAGAAAGCCUACGGGAGGGAGCAGUAGGGAAUCUUGCGCAAUGGGGGAGAGCCUGAAGAAGCAUCGCGGCGUGGAGGAUGACACUUUUCGGAGAGUAAACUCCUUUUGGUAGGAAAGCGGUACCUAACGAAUAAGCGCCGGCUGACUCCGUGCCAGCAGCCGCGGUAAUAC
rnacentral:rRNA from 1 species